rnacentral:rRNA from 1 species
UACGGAGGAUCCAAGCGUUAUCCGGAUUUAUUGGGUUUAAAGGGUGCGUAGGUGGCUUUGUAAGUCAGUGGUGAAAGUUUUCAGCUUAACUGGAAAAUUGCCAUUGAUACUGCAGGGCUUGAGUGCAGAUGAGGUAGGCGGAAUGUGUCAUGUAGCGGUGAAAUGCAUAGAUAUGACACAGAACACCGAUUGCGAAGGCAGCUUACUAAAACUGAUACUGACACUGAGGCACGAAAGCGUGGGGAUCAAACAGG